rnacentral:ribozyme from 2 species
GCCCUAAUGCAGCCGGAGGCGGUCACAAGCCCGCGAAAUGCAGAGUGGGGU